AGGCACCGAACCCCCCAACCGCUCGGGGCGCCUCACCAAGGGCAGCCCCCUCACUCUGACAUCUCUCCACUUUGUGCAUGUAUAGGUCCUAUUUGUGCAUGUGUGUGUCUUUCGGACCUGUGUGUAAUUGACAAGCAAGAGUGAAAACGUUGAAUUUCUCCUCAGGGGGAUUAAUAAAGUAAAUAAACUUAAACUUAAACAAAAGAUAGAGUGAUGUUUGUAACAACAUACAGCACAGAAGCAGAAAAUGUUAAACGUAUUAUAUAAAGAAAUUAGGGCAUUAUUGAAAGUGAUAAUACACUUAGUCAAGUUUUCCCUGAACCACCUUUAAUCAGUUUCAGGAGGUGCCCCACCCUACAGGAUAAACUGGUACACAGCCAUCUUAAACCAAACAUCCAACAAACAUGGUUGGAUAUCAAACCUAGAGGGUCCUACAAGUGUAACCAGUAAAACCACUGCACAAAUGUAAUGCAAACUAAAAACAUUUAUAGAUUUUACAUCUCAGAAAGAGUUCACUAUCAAUCAUUUCAUAAACUGUAAAACUACUUUUGUCAUGUAUAGGUUGGAGUGUCCCAGUUGUAAAGUGUUCUACAUUGGAAGAUCAAAAAGACGUCUUCAAGACAGUUUUAUCUUAUUUUAGGGUGGGUCUUUACAGAUGUUGGCUGUUUUUCCAGACCAGGUGGAAGAUUUUCAUUGGUGGAACACCACUACAAAAGAAUAAGGUGUUUCCUCAUAACUCUGUUUGACUCCCUGACGUAGGCUAUAUGCCGAAACGUGUCGGAGUUUGGUUUUUAAUGUCACUGUGACAAUGCCAUGUGAAUAAAGGCAUUUUAUAGAUUUAAAGAGAGUGUCUUGGACUUUUCUGUGUUUUUUUGUAGGCUGAGGUUAAUUGAAUUCCUGUGAAAUGACUUUAUGUAAUCUCCUUUAUUCUCAGAUGGAGCUAUAAUGGGAUGUUGAGUCUCAUAAAUGAGCCAAUUACACUGCGGAAUCUUUGAAUAUAUGAAAAGUAUUCAUAAAUCAUUGCAUUAUGUAUCUGCAUAGAUUUAUUUCUUAUUAACACUGAAAAACCUGCAGUUCUGUGGAAUUCCUCUUUUUUUAAAGAUUAUUUCUUGGGCUUUUGUUGUCUUUAUUGGCAAAACAGCAUCAUGUUAACGGGAGAGAGGGAACAACAGGCGUGGGAGGCUGCAUGCUGGGUUUGAACCCACGGCUGCUGCAUCAAGGACUGAGCAUCAGAUCACGGAGCGCCCGCUCUUUCCACAAAGCCACUGAAGCUCCAUGGCAAUUACUUUGAUAAUCGCUUCUGAUUUAUGCCCAGGGAACUCCACAAAAACAGGCAAAAGUCCUUUCAGAGCCAGAGUCACUUUUCUUACAGCCUGACAAACCGCUGCCCCGCUUACGUGUUCAGUGUCCCCGAUGUUAUAAAGAAAACUGCUGCUGCCGAAGAAUCAAAGGGCAACGCAUAAAAUUUGCUCCGAUGAUAAUGUAAAUCCACAAUGUGUAAUAUUUGAUAUAUCUGGGUGGAACAGAUUGUUAAGAUAAAUGUUAGAGUGUGAGGUGAAAUUGUGUUU